GCCGGUGGAGAAGCGGCUGCUCAAGCGCACCUCGUGGGUGCGCGAUCUGUGGUUCCGCACCGGCAAGCCGGUC
rnacentral:tRNA from 1 species